AGCUUUGUGCAGUGGCAGUAUUGUAGCCAAUGAGGUUUAUCCGAGGCGCGAUUAUUGCUAAUUGAAAACUAAAUAUGUCCAUGGAGCUUUUUACAGGCCAUUUUUUACCAAUAAGUACUGCAUUUCAUAAAAUUUUUAAUACUUCUAAUAAU
rnacentral:snRNA from 1 species